CACGUAGGGCGCAAGCGUUGUCCGGAAUCAUUGGGUGUAAAGAGCUCGUAGGCGGUUGUCGCGUCUGCUGUGAAAACUGGGGGCUUAACCCCCAGCUGGCAGUGGAUACGGGCAGACUAGAGGUAGGUAGGGGAGAAUGGAAUUCCCGGUGUAGCGGUGAAAUGCGCAGAUAUCGGGAGGAACACCGGUGGCGAAGGCGGUUCUCUGGGCCUUACCUGACGCUGAGGAGCGAAAGCGUGGGGAGC
rnacentral:rRNA from 1 species